GGAGUGGAAGAGGGAGGGAGAGAGAGAGAAGUGGAAGAGGGAGCGAGAGAGAUAAGUGGAAGAGGGAGCGAGAGAGAGAGAGAGAGUGAGAGAAAAGUGGAAGAGGGAGCGAGAAAGAGAGAGAGAGGGAGGGAGCGAGAGGGAGAGAGAUAGAGAGAAGUGGAAGAGGGGGCAAAAGAGAGAGAGAGAGAAGUGGAAGAGGGGGCAAAAGAGAGAGAGAGAGAAGUGGAAGAGGGAGUGCGAGAGGGAGAGAGAGAGAA
ensembl:lncRNA